GAGAUAGUAUAUGCAGGAACUGCUAAUUCAUGCUUCCAUGUAUAAAAACAUGGCUUUCUCA
rnacentral:tRNA from 1 species